rnacentral:rRNA from 1 species
UACAGAGGGGGCAAGCGUUGUUCGGAAUUACUGGGCGUAAAGGGCGAGUAGCGGCCGCCUAAGUCAGACGUGAAAUCCCUCGGCUCAACCGGGGAACUGCGUCUGAUACUGGGUGGCUUGAAUCCGGGAGAGGGAUGCGGAAUUCCAGGUGUAGCGGUGAAAUGCGUAGAUAUCUGGAGGAGCACCGGUGGCGAAGGCGGCAUCCUGGACCGGCAUUGACGCUGAGUUCGCGAAAGCCAGGGGAGCAAACGGG